GUGACCCAUGACGUCGUGAGCAGCCAUUGGCUGCGAGAAGUUGCGCAGUGCGCAUGGGCAGUGACGGUGCUGAGAAGAACGAACGCUGCUCCUCGCUCGCGUCUUUCUCGCUGCAAGUUAGUUUGUCAUUGCACUCGAACCGCUGCAGUUGUAGCGAAGUGAAGUUGGAAUUUCUUGGGACGCUGUUGCUGCGGACGUUAUAACAGGCAGUAUGGCAACGUCCGGUAUUGAUGUCGACGCUGAGAUUACAGAAGUCUACAAUGACGUGAAACUGAAGGCUAAGCACAAAUUCCUCAUCUUCAAGAUCAGUGACGACAAGACCUCUAUCAUAAUCGAUGACGAAGUCCCCCGAGCUGGUUCAGCGAAUACGACCACUGUGGAAGACUGCAACGUGCAUUUCGAGGCGAUGAAGCAACGGCUGGGGAAGGAGCCUAGGUACAUACUGUACGAUUUUGGCAUCAGCAACACUGAAGGCAGAAUUGUAAAGAAGUUGGCGUUCAUUUUCUGGUGCCCCGAUAAUUCACCCAUUGGCAAGAAGAUGAUUUACGCAUCAUCCAAGGAUUCCCUGAAGAAGGUGAUGACUGGCAUUGGCAUCGAGUUCCAGGCUAACGAUGCGAGUGACAUGGAGUUCAAAGAUCUCGUAGCGGAGGUGCUCAAGAAAGCGUAAGUUUGCAGUCGACACUGUGUGAAUACAUAGACGCACCGCGCCUCGCUUCUGCAAGUGAUGUGUUGGACCAGUGAUUGCUACCCUGAUUUUACAGUCCGACCCAGUACGCUUGCUGUUUUUGCAUGUCCAGUCCACAGUUUGAUUGGGUGUGCGCGCGCGUGUGUGUGUGCACAUGGUGUCUGCCAGCCCCCAUCAUGUGUGCCGCGUCUGUGUUCCUAAAACCUGCUUCAAUCUUGCGUGUCUACUUGUAUGAUUUCGCUUUGCUGGGGCGCGAUUGAAAAAUGAAAGAAACAAGCACGAAACAUAUCUAGACCAUUUUCAUCAUUUUAUACUGCCCCAAGGCUGGACCGGACCUUUGGACGUCUAUACUGUCUUCCACUCUUAGCAUUUUCUCCGUUACAGUAAAUAAUUGCUUUCUCCUGCUACUGCUCCUGCGAGAGGUGUGUUUUUCGAAUGUUAGUCGCUGUCGCUGCUGGCCCCCAUGCACCGAUCGGCUCAAUCACCCUUCUGCUGCUUGUCCGGAACGUGCGUGUGUACGCUAGAAGCUAUCUUCCGUUUCUACCCCUUCCCGCACAACCUCUAUGAUUGUGCGUUUGUCCUUGGCCUCAGUAUUCCAGAGUCUUCUGUUUUGCUGUGCCACCUCUUUCUUCUUUUCUUCCUUUCUUUUGCGUGCCCACAUCGAGCCUCUAAAUUUGAUGAACAUACUUAUCCCUGGAAGGAGCUGAAGCAGUACCUGCGCCUUGCGUUGACUAAGA